CAGAAUACGCGAUUGUUUCAACAAAAUGAUGCCAACUGCCGUUCAAACCAAAAUGUGUCUUCUAGCCUUUGAUGCAGUUAAAUGGGUUACACGGUACAGUGAAGCAGGACCACCCCCUGUGUGUGUGUGUGUAUUCUUGCACUGUUACUUGACGCUUAAACUCACUCUCACUCUGUAACUCACUCUGUAACUCACUCUGCUCUGUGGACGCUCAGAGGGGAUGAUUGACAGUCUUCACUACAGCACUAUCAGGGAGAUAUAGAUGAAUAUUGUAUAUCAAUUAUCCAAUUUAUUGCCAUCUUCGUUGAGUAAUCCAAUUAUUUUAGUAUUGUUUUGUGAGGCGACACUGCCAUUCUCAUUAGAACCUGCAACCUUCCAGACACAAGCCUGCCUUCCUAACCACCAGCUCCAGUUCUUUUGGUUCCACCUUCUAAUUUAUCUGUCAAUAAAUAGUGUAAACACAAGUGUUUCUGUACCCAUCUCUGUAUCAGUGCUGGGACAACACCUUAUAUUCAGGUCAUACUGGCAUAAGUUUCAUUAACCAAUAACACCUUGAAAUGCCAUCAGCUGACAUCCGAGAAGAUGCGAUAAGCCAAGGGUGAAACUAGUUCAAUAUUUUUUUUCCAUUUUCUUUGAAUUAACAUUAUUUUUACGGUUGUGCUACAACUAAUUAUGACCAUCUAUUAAAACAUCCAGACACAGGUAUACCAUUUUUUUCUCGAGUACAAACACUGAAGCCACAAGGAUAUUAUAUACUGGAUAUAUACUGUAUGGGUUGCCAUUUCCUGCAAUUAUCUCCCCGAUCUGACUUAAAGAUGUGCAAAUUGAAUAGACCGAACCUCUUCAUUGAAAAUCUUUCUUUGUUCCACUUGGUAGUGCAUUACUGUGCUGCUUCACAUGACAACUACAGCUGAUGUCUGAUUACUUUCUCUUUACCAGUCAUUAAGUAUCCAUGAACUUGAAACGAUCAGAUUAGCAGUCUCUUCCUUUUGUCAGUGUGGCUUUUGGUGACACAUAAAACUUAACUCUAAGCUCCUCCUAUUCAUUACAAUAAAUGGGAUCAACUGUUUAUUACUUUCUUUCACCUUCAGUACAAAAGCACCUUCCCUGCCACUUACGAACAAGUCUCAUUUUAAGCCUCCUGGUGUUUGCACACAUUGUUUUUGUUGACAAUAGGUAAAAUCUAGGCUAAAUCUGAUCUAGAAUAUUCCUGAGACACCAUGUUGCCUUUGUUUCACAUACUGUAUUGUCCCUGAAAGAGGUGAGUAGUGUCUUUUACAGGCUCCUCCUGGUAGUUGUCUACUCAUUGUCAUUCCCUGGGCUUAAUUUACGGUAAUAAAUAUAAAGUUAACUUUGUUCUGUUGCCAUACCAUCUAUGAAAGAAACCUUUUACGUACAUGGUUCAAUAUGAGUGAGUAGUACUAAGAGUAAUUAGCAAAGAUCUUUUUAGGAAUUACACAUAAAUUAGUAAAGUAUUUUUUCCUGUUAUGUCCUGAAAACUGUAAGGCAAAAUACACAACUGGAAAAAGGUUUUUAGUUAUUCGUCUCUGUUGCCUGCCACAAGGAAACUAUUAAUUUAUCAAUCGAAGCAUCAAUAACGUUUCAUGUUUCUCUAGUUUUGCCUUUUUGCAGUUUACUGUAAAUAUGUCAUUAAAAGCAUGAAGUCUUCAGAAGAAAUGUUAUAUAUAUAUAUAUAUAUAUAUAUAUAUACCCCUACACAACAGUCCCUAAUGUUGAACCACAUCAUCCUUUUAUUAGUCAGUUGUUCAAUACAACAAAAUUGUAAAUAUUCUAUGAUAAAACCACUCUUCAAAAUUAUUAUGAUAGUUAUUUAAAAACAGCAGGAACUGAAAUAGAAUUUGAAAUGACAGAUCAGGGACUAAGUGCCUACAUACAGUAUUUACAUUAACUUUGUGCUUCUUUUCAAACAAUCCCCUCUCAAAAAAAAAAAAA